rnacentral:lncRNA from 1 species
ACUACUUAUGUGUAACCAACUUAAUUGUACACAAACCUUUUAAUAUUUACCUUUCAUUUAUAUAGACAUUUUUAUCACUUAAUUUAUUCUCUCUCUCUUUUUUUAUUUAGAUGUAUUACUAUUUUACUUCAUAAAGACUUUCUUACCCAGUGGAAGUCCUUUCCAGCAUCUGGAUGACCAUCUUAAGCAUCAGCUGCCAUCUUAAAAAGCUGGAGCCCAAUGUGGUACCUGGACAUCUGAAACAGGGACCCUUCUGGAUGUGUUAAUGGGGAAAGGGAUUGCUUAUGACCUGGAGCAGGCUGAUGUGUGUCUUUCACCAGAUGCUACUGAUCCCCAUUGUUGUUAAAGAAACAAUACUACACUUCCUUCUUCAAGCUCUACAAAAAAUAACAGAAAAUUGUUGCUAGUAAUGGACCUUGGUGAGAGCCACAUCUUCACCCUGGGACCCUCUCCUCAACUGAUCAUCCACUCCACACCAGGAAAAGCCUGCCUUGGUUCCAGACCUGAUCACCUUAGUCCUAGUGAGAGGGCAUCUGCUGGAGUUAAAGCCUAAGUCUUACAACUUUUGAACUUAUCUUGCAGAGGAAAUGUCUAUCAUUAGACUAUCAUGAUUAAGUGUGUUUUACAGUGCUUAGAAUUAAUCUAGAACUGUUUGCUGUGAAUUAAUUAAUCUAGAAUUGUUUGGUGUGAAUUGAUUAUGUCUAUUGCGGGGCCUAGCAUUAAGGAUUGUCAUUUUCUUGAUUAAAAACCUAUGAAAUAAAGUUUCAUUGAGUAAUUUGAGUGAAUAAAGC